rnacentral:rRNA from 1 species
GAUGAACGCUGGCGGCGUGCCUAACACAUGCAAGUCGAACGAAGCGCUUUGAAGUUUUCGGACAGAUGAGUGACUGAGUGGCGGACGGGUGAGUAACGCGUGGGUAACCUGCCUCAUACAGGGGGAUAACAGUUAGAAAUGACUGCUAAUACCGCAUAAGUGCACAGCUUCGCAUGAAGCAGUGUAAAAAACUCCGGUGGUAUGAGAUGGACCCGCGUCUGAUUAGCUAGUUGUGGGGUAACGGCCUACCAAGGCGACGAUCAGUAGCCGGCCUGAGAGGGUGAACGGCCACAUUGGGACUGAGACAC